GCGGCGGACGGGUGAGUAAUGCCUAGGAAUCUGCCUAGUAGUGGGGGAUAACUUGCCGAAAGGUAAGCUAAUACCGCAUACGUCCUACGGGAGAAAGCAGGGGACUCUUCGGAGCCUUGCGCUAUUAGAUGAGCCUAGGUCGGAUUAGUUAGUUGGUGAGGUAAUGGCUCACCAAGACUGCGAUCCGUAACUGGUCUGAGAGGAUGAUCAGUCACACUGGAACUGAGACACGGUCCAGACUCCUACGGGAGGCAGCAGUGGGGAAUAUUGGACAAUGGGGGAAACCCUGAUCCAGCCAUGCCGCGCGUGUGAAGAAGGUCUUAGGAUUGUAAAGCACUUUAAGUUGGGAGGAAGGGCAGUUAACUAAUACUUGACUGUUUUGACGUUACCGACAGAAUAAGCACCGGCUAACUUCGUGCCAGCAGCCGCGGUAAUACGAAGGGUGCAAGCGUUAAUCGGAAUUACUGGGCGUAAAGCGCGCGUAGGUGGUUCGUUAAGUUAGGAGUGAAAGCCCCGG
rnacentral:rRNA from 1 species